rnacentral:rRNA from 1 species
GGUGCAUGGUUGUCGUCAGCUCGUGUCGUGAGAUGUUGGGUUAAGUCCCGCAACGAGCGCAACCCCUAUAUYUAGUUACCAGCAAGUAAAGUUGGGGACUCUAGAUAGACUGCCGGUGACAAACCGGAGGAAGGUGGGGAUGACGUCAAAUCAUCAUGCCCUUUAUGUCCUGGGCUACACACGUGCUACAAUGGCMRGUACAGAGGGAAGCGAAGUCGYRAGGCSAAGCAAAUCUCAGAAAGCYUGCCCCAGUUCGGAUUGUAGGCUGCAACUCGCCUACAUGAAGYCGGAGUUGCUAGUAAUCGCARAUCAGMAUGYUGCGGUGAAUGCGUUCCCGGGUCUUG